UGGCUCAGAACGAACGCUGGCGGCAGGCCUAACACAUGCAAGUCGAGCGCGCCCUUCGGGGUGAGCGGCGGACGGGUUAGUAACGCGUGGGAACGUGCCCUUCUCUAAGGAAUAGCCACUGGAAACGGUGAGUAAUACCUUAUACGCCCUUCGGGGGAAAGAUUUAUCGGAGAAGGAUCGGCCCGCGUUAGAUUAGGUAGUUGGUGGGGUAACGGCCUACCAAGCCUACGAUCUAUAGCUGGUUUUAGAGGAUGAUCAGCAACACUGGGACUGAGACACGGCCCAGACUCCUACGGGAGGCAGCAGUGGGGAAUCUUGGACAAUGGGCGCAAGCCUGAUCCAGCCAUGCCGCGUGAGUGAUGAAGGCCUUAGGGUCGUAAAGCUCUUUCGCCUGUGAUGAUAAUGACAGUAGCAGGAAAGAA
rnacentral:rRNA from 1 species